GAGUGGCAGCGGCCAGGCAGCCCAGUUUCGGGAAGGCUCUAGGCGCGCCGUGGCCCACAGGCACCUGGCACGCGCCUUCCCCGCCGCCAGGAUGCCCAAGAGGAAGGUCAGCUCCGCUGAAGGGGCCGCCAAGGAAGAGCCCAAGAGGAGAUCAGCGCGGUUGUCAGCUGAUAAAUCUUCAGACAAAAAAGUGCAAACAAAAGGGAAAAGGGGAGCAAAGGGAAAACAGGCCAAAGAGGCUAACGAAGAAACUAAGAAGAUUUACCUGCAGAAAACGGGGAAACGAAAACUGAGGAGAGUCCAGCCUCUGAUGAAGCAGGAGAGAAAGAAGCCGAGACCUAUGUAUCAUGUCUUACCAGUGGUCCCUGUCUCCCUUCUUGUACAAUCCAGAGGAAUAUUUUUAUCAACUAUUUUGUAAAUGUAAGUCUUUUAGUAGCUCUAGAAACAUUUUUUAAGAAGGAGGGAAUCCCACCUCAUCCCAUUUUUUUUAAGUGUAAAUGCUUUUUUUUAAGAGGUGAAAUCAUUUGCUGGUUGUUUAUUUUUUGGUACAACCAGAAAAUAGUGUAGGAUAUUGAAUUAUGGGAGGCUUUGACUGUCUCGGGUGUCGGCUUAACAUUCCAUAGAUGGGGGGAUAGUUUUUAUGUCCUAUAAUACAAAGCAUAUUAAAUGGCAAUAUGGAGUCAGUCCUGCAUUUAAUGUCUUGAACAUUUUAUUUUACUUCUAUUCUCAUGUUUUUUAGUAGAAUUGUUUCCUAAAGAAAACCACUCCUUGUUCAUGGCGCUCCCUGUCAGAAUUGUGUGCACUCUGUAACAUCUUUGGUUGUGGUAGUCCUGUUUUUCUAAUAACUUUGUUGCUGUGCUGUGAAAGAUUACAGAUUUGAAUAUGUAGUGUACAUGCUAUUCAGUUGUGAACUGGUGGGCCAUAUGUAACAGCUGACCAACAUGUGAAGAUACUGGUAUUUGAUAGCCUCUUAAGGAAAAUUUGCUUCCAAAUUUUAAACUGGAAAGUCACUGGAAUAACUUUA